UCAUAUGCUUGUCUCAAAGAUUAAGCCAUGCAUGUCUAAGUACAAACUAUAUUAAAGUGAAACUGCGAAAGGCUCAUUAAAUCAGUUAUGGUUCCUUAGAUCGUACCACACAAUUACUUGGAUAACUGUGGUAAUUCUAGAGCUAAUACAUGCAAACAGAGCUCUGACCGGAGACGGAAGGAGUGCUUUUAUUAGAUCAAAACCAAUCGGCGGCGAUUACGUUUCGGCGUGAUCGUUCGUCGCUAAUUAAAUGGUGAAUCUGAAUAACUUUAUGCUGAUCGCAUGGUCUUGUACCGGCGACGCAUCUUUCAAAUGUCUGCCUUAUCAACUGUCGAUGGUAGGAUCUGCGCCUACCAUGGUUGUAACGGGUAACGGGGAAUCAGGGUUCGAUUCCGGAGAGGGAGCCUGAGAAACGGCUACCACAUCCAAGGAAGGCAGCAGGCGCGCAAAUUACCCACUCCCGACACGGGGAGGUAGUGACGAAAAAUAACGAUACGGGACUCAUCCGAGGCCCCGUAAUCGGAAUGAGUACACUUUAAAUCCUUUAACGAGGACCAAUUGGAGGGCAAGUCUGGUGCCAGCAGCCGCGGUAAUUCCAGCUCCAAUAGCGUAUAUUAAAGUUGUUGCGGUUAAAAAGCUCGUAGUUGAAUUUGUGUCCCGCACUGUCGGUUCACCGCCCGCGGUGUUAACUGGCAUGUUUUGCGGGACGUCCUGCCGGUGGAUGUGUUUUUGUUUGGUUAUAUAUUGUUGUUUCAUUUAACCGCCCUAGAUUGUGUAUGUUUUGUUAUGUGUGUGUGUUGGUAUAUAAAAUUUAUUUUUUAUUACCUUCCAUAUAUAUUACAUUCAUCACGUUUAGGAUACGGUGGUGGACACGUAUUUUCCAAUCAACCAUCCGUAUAUAUAUAAUCCUGUCGCGGUGCUCUUAAUUGAGUGUCGAGGCGGGCCGGCACGUUUACUUUGAACAAAUUAGAGUGCUCAAAGCAGGCUAAUAUAUGCCUGAAUAAUUAGUGCAUGGAAUAAUGGAACAGGACCUCGGUUCUAUUUUGUUGGUUUUCGGAACCCCGAGGUAAUGAUUAAUAGGGACAGAUGGGGGCAUUCGUAUUGCGACGUAAGAGGUGAAAUUCUUGGAUCGUCGCAAGACGGACUAAAGCGAAAGCAUUUGCCAAAGAUGUUUUCAUUAAUCAAGAACGAAAGUCAGAGGUUCGAAGGCGAUCAGAUACCGCCCUAGUUCUGACCAUAAACGAUGCCAGCUAGCGAUCCGCCAAAGUUCCUCCGAUGACUUGGCGGGCAGCUUUCGGGAAACCAAAGCUUUUGGGUUCCGGGGGAAGUAUGGUUGCAAAGCUGAAACUUAAAGGAAUUGACGGAAGGGCACCACCAGGAGUGGAGCCUGCGGCUUAAUUUGACUCAACACGGGAAACCUCACCAGGCCCAGACACUGGAAGGAUUGACAGAUUGAGAGCUCUUUCUUGAUUCAGUGGGUGGUGGUGCAUGGCCGUUCUUAGUUGGUGGAGCGAUUUGUCUGGUUAAUUCCGAUAACGAACGAGACUCUAGCCUACUAAAUAGACGUUACACUUACCGGUAUCUCGAAGGCUCACAUCUUUCGUUUUACCAUUCUACACAUGCCCGAUUGAGUAUGGCAUUUCGGUGUUAUAUCUCUUUCGACGUAUGUGUGGUUGGGCGGAAGUUUGUGGUUUUUACUACCGGCGUACAUAUAUAUCUUCUUAGAGGGACAGGCGGCUUCUAGCCGCACGAGAUUGAGCAAUAACAGGUCUGUGAUGCCCUUAGAUGUUCUGGGCCGCACGCGCGCUACACUGAAGGAAUCAGCGUGUCUUCCCUGUCCGAAAGGUCCGGGUAACCCGCUGAACCUCCUUCGUGCUAGGGAUUGGGGCUUGCAAUUGUUCCCCAUGAACGAGGAAUUCCCAGUAAGCGCGAGUCAUAAGCUCGCGUUGAUUACGUCCCUGCCCUUUGUACACACCGCCCGUCGCUACUACCGAUUGAAUGAUUUAGUGAGGUCUUCGGACUGGUACGCGGUGAUGUUUUAUACAUUACCGAUGUCGCUGGGAAGAUGACCAAACUUGAUUAUUUAGAGGAAUAA
rnacentral:rRNA from 1 species